AACUUCACAUAUGGUGCUCUGCUUGACCACUUGCUCUGCAAGUUCUGCGAGAAGGCUGCAUUUGUUUCAGACCUGCCAGAGUGUCUGGGACAGCAGUCCUACAAACAACUCCUUGUUUUCCCGUUUCCUUGACCCUAUUGCCAGGCCAAGGCAAAGGGUCUGCCAUGGGCGGCUGCAUGUAAUUUCAUAGGCUGUGCAUCUGAAGUUGACCUCUGCUAUCUGUUUCCUUGUCAUCUCAAACAAGGGAUAAUGCUCUCCUGGGAACAGUUUCACCUCGAAGAGACAGGCAGCUCCUCAAAACAAUAUGGUUAAUCUUCAAGAAUUUGUCUGCCAGCUGUCUUCCAGGAAGCAGAAUCAAGGAAUGGCCUGGUUAUCAAGGGUGGCUGGCUGGAGACCUCCUCUGCCUUCUCCUCUACCAUUGUCACUCUUGCUAUGAUUUACUUAAGGUAUGUUCUGAACCAGUGGAACAAAUGUUCUGUGCUCUCAAAGGCAAAAACUGCCUUGGAAACCAAAGUCAAACCCAAAGAAGGGAAGUGAUGGCCACUCAUUUUGUUACAAACCUCCACCUCAUUUCUGGAGUCCUGUCUGAGAUUUUCAAAUAUAUGCUGCCUGGCAACCUAUGUGCCUUUUAGGCUUUGGGAUGUUAAGAGAGACCAGAGACAACACGCUUCUCAGCUACAAGGACUUUACAGGACAAAACAGAGGGGAAUGGCAGAGAGGAACAGCUGAGAACAAGUGUAUGGUGGCUCUGACAAUCGCCUCCUUGUUUGCUGCCGUCUACCGGAAGACACUUACACAUAUCCAGACCUGUGUGAUCUGGAACUAAGAUCUCUUGAUUUGUUCUUCUGACUCAAACCAUCCCAGAUACGAAACUUUAUAUACUCUAGCACGACUGGCAUUGUUCAUUGCUGCGAGAUCUACGCCUUGGACUCAGAAUCACUGGCCAUAUUUUAUCUGUGAGUGAAUGAUGAAAUCAUCUGGUUGUCUCUGAGAAAGUGUUAAAUGUAGGGGUGGAAUAAAAGGACCAAAGGGCCAAAUUCUGCC
ensembl:lncRNA